UACAGAGGUCUCAAGCGUUGUUCGGAUUCAUUGGGCGUAAAGGGUGCGUAGGCGGCGCGGUAAGUCAGUGGUGAAAUCUCCGAGCUUAACUCGGAAACUGCCUUUGAUACUCUCUGUCUUGAAUAUGGUGGAGGUAAGCGGAAUAUGUCAUGUAGCGGUGAAAUGCUUAGAGAUGACAUAGAACACCUAUUGCGAAGGCAGCUUACUACGCCUAUAUUGACGCUGAGGCACGAAAGCGUGGGGAUCAAACAGG
rnacentral:rRNA from 1 species